AAUUGAUGAUGCGCACGCGCACUAUUGCCCCGUAGAGUCUACCUUCCAUUGGAUAGUAGCUGGCAAACACGUAGGAGGAGAAAAGGCUCCAUACCUCCAUAACAUCUAUCUAUCUAACAACUGGGCUGGGAGAGUAGUAGUGUCUAUACUGCGUAAGUGAAGAAACUGAGACUCAGGCUAAGCAAACUGCUCGAUGCCGUACAACUACAUGUAGUGGUGAAUGUGAGACUAAACCUUGGAUUUGUCUGGCUCCGAAAUCUCUAUGCCUUCCACAACAAUAAAACUCAGAAGACAAAGAGUUGGAACACUUGACAAGGAGAGGAGAGUGGAAGGAGAACUCAGCACCUGGGCUGCUAUGUCAGAGGCCUCAGAUUGUGCUUGAAAUCCCAGGAUCAGAAGAUACUUUUUCAGAUUAUCCUAUGUAUCAGAGUCCAGCCAGAGAAAUAAAGGUCACUCUAGGUCUCUCAGUGGGUGAAAUUUAGUCCAGGAAACAGAUUACACAGGUGACGUGGGAACUUGAGGGACUGCAGUUGGGGUUUCCAGGUGGGAACUAGAACUGUAGAAGGAGGGUCUAUUGGCAAGACCUAUGACUUGUGGAGACAUCAUCUGAGACAGAAGAAGAAAAUUACCUACUUAUUCCCUUCCUCCUGCCCUUCAUCUCCCAGUGUUGUCUCCCAUAUGCUAAAGCUAGAGGGCAGAAGAGCCUGGAAAAGUUGCUCCCUGAGAUUGAGAGCAGG